GCAGCCUGAUCCAGCAAUGCCGCGUGAGUGAAGAAGGCCUUCGGGUUGUAAAGCUCUUUUGUCAGGGAAGAAACGGGUGAGGCUAAUAUCCUCGUCUAAUGACGGUACCUGAAGAAUAAGCACCGGCUAACUACGUGCCAGCAGCCGCGGUAAUACGUAGGGUGCAAGCGUUAAUCGGAAUUACUGGGCGUAAAGCGUGCGCAGGCGGUUUUGUAAGUCUGUCGUGAAAUCCCCGGGCUCAACCUGGGAAUGGCGAUGGAGACUGCAAGGCUAGAAUCUGGCAGAGGGGGGUAGAAUUCCACGUGUAGCAGUGAAAUGCGUAGAGAUGUGGAGGAACACCGAUGGCGAAGGCAGCCCCCUGGGUCAAGAUUGACGCUCAUGCACGAAAGCGUGGGGAGCAAACAGGAUUAGAUACCCUGGUAGUCCACGCCCUAAACGAUGUCUACUAGUUGUCGGGUCUUAAUUGACUUGGUAACGCAGCUAACGCGUGAAGUAGACCGCCUGGGGAGUACGGUCGCAAGAUUAAAACUCAAAGGAAUUGACGGGGACCCGCACAAGCGGUGGAUGAUGUGGAUUAAUUCGAUGCAACGCGAAAAACCUUACCUACCCUUGACAUGGAAGGAAUCCUUGAGAGAU
rnacentral:rRNA from 1 species